rnacentral:rRNA from 1 species
AGAGUUUGAUCCUGGCUCAGGACGAACGCUGGCGGCGUGCUUAACACAUGCAAGUCGAACGAGAAUCACUGGAAGGAGUUUUCGGACAACGGAAGGUGAGGACAGUGGCGGACGGGUGAGUAACGCGUGAGGAACCUGCCUUUCAGAGGGGGACAACAGUUGGAAACGACUGCUAAUACCGCAUGACACAUAGAGAUCGCAUGGUUUUUAUGUCAAAGAUUUAUCGCUGAAAGAUGGCCUCGCGUCUGAUUAGCUGGUUGGUGAGGUAACGGCCCACCAAGGCGACGAUCAGUAGCCGGACUGAGAGGUUGACCGGCCACAUUGGGACUGAGAUACGGCCCAGACUCCUACGGGAGGCAGCAGUGGGGAAUAUUGGGCAAUGGGCGCAAGCCUGACCCAGCAACGCCGCGUGAAGGAAGAAGGCUUUCGGGUUGUAAACUUCUUUUGUCGGGGACGAGUAGAAGACGGUACCUGGCGAAUAAGCCACGGCUAACUACGUGCCAGCAGCCGCGGUAAUACGUAGGUGGCAAGCGUUGUCCGGAUUUACUGGGUGUAAAGGGCGUGUAGCCGGGAAGGCAAGUCAGAUGUGAAAUCCACGGGCUUAACUCGUGAACUGCAUUUGAAACUACUUUUCUUGAGUAUCGGAGAGGCAAUCGGAAUUCCUAGUGUAGCGGUGAAAUGCGUAGAUAUUAGGAGGAACACCAGUGGCGAAGGCGGCCUGCUGGACGACAACUGACGCUGAGGCGCGAAAGCGUGGGGAGCAAACAGGAUUAGAUACCCUGGUAGUCCACGCUGUAAACGAUGAAUACUAGGUGUGCGGGGACUGACCCCCUGCGUGCCGCAGUUAACACAAUAAGUAUUCCACCUGGGGAGUACGAUCGCAAGGUUGAAACUCAAAGGAAUUGACGGGGGCCCGCACAAGCGGUGGAUUAUGUGGUUUAAUUCGAAGCAACGCGAAGAACCUUACCAGGGUUUGACAUCCUGCUAACGAAGUAGAGAUACAUUAGGUGCCCUUCGGGGAAAGCAGAGACAGGUGGUGCAUGGUUGUCGUCAGCUCGUGUCGUGAGAUGUUGGGUU